GGCUCGGCCGAUCGCUGCCCUGGACCCCUCAAUGGACGUUAAACUAGUACAGUACAUCCACAAAAACUGAAGACUGCCUCAAAGAAUGAGAGGUAGUAAAAACAUUAGAAGAGCAAACACGAGGAAAUCUGCAGAUGCUGGAAAUUCAAACAACAACACACACCAAAUGCUGGUGGAACACAGCCGGCCAGGCAGCAUCUAUAGGGAGAAGCACUGUCGACGUUUCGGGCCGAGACGCUUCGUCAGGACUAACUGAAAGGAAAGAUAGUAAGAGACCAAGGGACUGUCUGGUAAGUUGAUCAAAAAGAUUACAAUCCACAGUGAUUCGGUAGUUUGGAUUCAGAAUUGGCUUGUGCCUAGAAGACGGGGCAAAGCUGGAAGGACGUUGUACUGACUAGAGGCCUACUUCGGAUCUCUGUUAUUUUUCGGAUCUUUGACAUUCUUCCGGGGGCCAAGAAUGGAGGAAGAAGCUGGAGGUCCAUGAGCCAGUACUCAUUAGGGGAGCAGAAAUGGAGAGGGUAAGUAACUUCAAAUUCCUUGGUAUUACCAUACCUGAGGAUCUGUUCUAGGACAGAAGUUCAUAUCAACAUUUCGAAUGUUGAAAGGCAUGGACAGAGUGGAUGUAGCAAAGUUGUUUCCCAUGGUGGGGGAGUCUAGUACGAGAGGGCAUGAAUUAAGGAUUGAAGGGCGCCCAUUCAGACCAGAGAUGCGAAGAAAUUUUUUUAGCCAGAGGGUGAUGAAUCUGUGGAAUUUGUUGCCACGGGUGGCAGUGGAGGCCGUCAUUGGGUGUACUUAAGGCAAAGAUUGUUAGGUAUCUGAGUAGCCAGGGCAUCAACGGUUAUGGUGAGAAGGCAGGGGAGUAGGACUAAAUGAGGGAAUGGAUCAGCUCAUGAGAAAAUGGUGGAGCAGAUUUGUUGGGCCGAAUGGCCAACUUCUGCUCCUUUGUCUUAUGGUCUAAUGGUUCCAUCAUGAAGAAGUCACAACAGUGCCUUUACUUUCAUAGAUACUUAAAUAAAUUUGGCAUUUUACAAACAAUUUGAUAAAUUUGUCACAAUGCACAGUGGAGAGUACCCUAGUUGAUUGUAUCACUGCCUGAUAUGGAAUCACCAAUGCCCGGAAAUGGUAGAGUUCACAGAAAGUGAUGGAUGCAGUCCAGUCUAUCACAGGCAAAGCCCUCAUCACCAUUGAAUACAUUUACAUGGAGCUCUGUAGCAAGAAAGCAGCAUGCAUUAUCAAGGACUUCCACCAUCCAGGCAAGUCUUUUCUUGAUUCAGGAACUUAUUUAACUAUUAUAUAUAUAUAAACAUUGUAAUUCCCAGUUUUUUAUUACUAUACAUAGCAUUGUACUGCUGCAGCAAAAAACAACAAAAUAUAUGGUAUAUGCUGAUUCUGAUACUACCAUCAGUCAGGAGGUAUGAGAGCCUUGGGUCCCAUACCACCAGGUUCAAGGACAGUUAUUACCCUAUGCCUGGGUUUUGAACCAGCAUGGGUGGAUAACUUCACUCACCAGAACUCUGAAUUGAUUCUACAAAUUACAGGCUCACUUUUGAGGACUCUACAACUCAUGUUCUAAGUAUUUUUUUCAUUUUCACAAAUUGUCUUUUGCACAUUGCUUUUUUGUCAGUCUUUAUUUAUGGAUAGGAUUUCAUAAUUUGUAUUGUAUUACUUUAUUCUUCUGUAAAUGCCUGCAAGAAAAUGAAUCUCAAGAUAACUUAAGCAAUAACCACAAAAUGCUGAAGGAACUCAGCAGGCCAGGCAACAUCUAUGGAAAAAAAAGUACAGUUGACGCUUUGGGCUGAGACCCAUCGUCAGGACUUUUGACACUGAGGAACUGGAGUACCUAAUCCUAUAUCUCUUCCUAAUCUUCAACACCUUUGGUGAACAGCUGCAGCCCAAGUUAUGCUCUACAUCUUCACCACUCACCUCAACCAUUAUUGGACAGGACUAUUUCUCAAUAUCCAAUUUCCCAGUACAUCAUCACAAGCUUACAUCAUUGAGCUCUCAUCCAGAGAAGGU